rnacentral:rRNA from 1 species
UACGUAGGGUGCAAGCGUUAAUCGGAAUUACUGGGCGUAAAGCGUGCGCAGACGGUUGCGUAAGUCAGAUGUGAAAGCCCCGGGCUCAACCUGGGAAUUGCAUUUGAGACUGCGUAGCUAGGGUGCGGAAGAGGGAAGCGGAAUUUCCGGUGUAGCGGUGAAAUGCGUAGAUAUCGGAAGGAACACCAGUGGCGAAAGCGGCUUCCUGGUCCAGCACCGACGUUCAGGCACGAAAGCGUGGGGAGCGAACAGG